GAGGGCAUAGCUCAGUGGUAGAGUGUGUGCCUAUCACACACGAGGUUCUGGGUUUGACCCCCAGUACCUCCA
rnacentral:tRNA from 1 species